GCGGUGUUGGGUUGCCGGCAGCUCCCGCUCGCGGCGAGGCGGGGGUCCGGGGUCGCGGCCCCCAGAGGCGGCGCCCGGCCGCGCCGGCGAGGCCCGGGCGCCCCCUCGGCCGCGGAAGGCCAGGCUAGGCCGGGGAGCGGCAGCGAGAGGAACACGUGCUUCUGCCUGGUUCCUCUUCGGGGAUUUUUCUCCUCUUUUUUUUCUCCCCCCGCCCCCCCCGCCGAACCGACGUAAUGUAGUACGCUGGUGGCCUGUGCCCUGAACGAAACAGCCGGCGCUGCUCCCGGUACCCGGGCCGUGGGUGUCCGGCGGCCGUCCCUCCCCAGGCUGCGUGGGGCACCAGCUCCGCGUCUGCUCGCCCAGGGGCGGCCUGGCAGCGGCCUGCCGCGGGCGACGAGCGGUGGGCCACGGUCCUCCCCUCGGCUCGGCUCUGCCCGGCCCCGCGCCGCGCCGAAAGCCCCGCAGCCCCGGCCUAGCCGGAGCUGCCUUGCAGCAGGCGCAGCCGAGUGGGCGGGGGUGGUAGGUGUCUGCAGCAGCAGAGCCCGUCGGUCGAUAGCGUUAAUUACCAUCGCACGGUGCCCGAGUUCGCUAGGCUCCAUGCAGCGCGGAAUAAAGUGACAUAUUCCCUGCCCCAGGGAGUGCACAAUCUCCAGUGGAUCUGAAAACACGGGGGUGUGACAGAACACCACGGGGCUGCAGCAAGAAAGUCGUGCUGCUGAGGACUCCAUUCUCUUCAGGACUGCAGAUGAGAGAAGACAACAGCUCCUAAGGCCUCUGGAGUGACAGUGUGGAUGUGACCCCACAGGGGUGUGACAGAACACUGCAAGGCUGCAGCCUUGGAGUUGCAGGAUCCAGUCCCUGGAAAAUGGAGUCUUACUCCAAUAACUUUCUGGAGUGAAGAGUCCAGUGCCAAAUAAUAUGCAUGAAGAUCUACCAAUUCAAGGAAUCUAGGGUCCUAAGCAAACCUGAAUUCAAAUACCAGAAAAUUGUGAGAGUGACAGCUUCAGCUGUGCUGGAAUUAUUAGGUGUUUCCAUUGCCUGUGAUCUGGAUUUCUCAUCCUUCUCCUCUGCUUCCCUGCUGGCUCCAAGUGCCUUUGUGACUGUGUUCCACAGAGACCCAGCCUGGCAACUGCACAAAAAUACAUCAAAAGAUUUUUUUAAGGGUAAUUUUAAAACUCCCAUUUUCACUAAUUCAAGCUCUUUUUUCAGUGAUAGAAAUUGACCGCUAGUAGCUUAAACUGAGUCAUGGAUGCUAAUGGUCCAUUUCCACCUCUGUUUCUAUGGAAAUGGUUGUCAGCCUGGAGGGGAGGGGGGAAUGAUUUUAAACAUAAACUUAAUAAAAUCUGUCACCUACCUGAUGUCCUUUUUCACUAAAAUCUGACUUAGAAAGGUUUCUGGUAACAAAACCAAAGCACUGCUAACUGGUUUCAGCUGCUAGUUGAGGACUGGGCACCAAAAUGUGUUUUUCAAACAUACACAAAAGAAAAAUCCCAAGUCCACUGGCUUCUAGAUCCUGCUUUGUCAUUGUCUUGCAUCCUGUGCUAUAAUUCACCAUAUCAGAAUGUGCGCAUAAAAUGAGAUGAAAGUAGAAUGGGAGAAUAAAGCAUUACCAAAGUGGGAUAAGA